UCUGGACACCAGCCUGGACAA
rnacentral:misc_RNA from 1 species